GCCGCCACCGCCACCGCCGCCGCCAACGCCGGCGACUCGUCGUGCUCCGGAGGCGCGCUACUGGGUCACGUUGUUGCGAGAUUUCUGGAUUUAUCUUCCGUCAUCAAUAGAAUGGAGCAAGAAGAGAAUCAUUCAGCUGAUUACUUGCCUGCUCAACCUGCUAAUUGCAACGAAUUGGAAGAAUCACCUAUAAAGGAAAGGUGUUUUGAGCAGAGAGAAGCUCUUCUUGGGGAACCUCGUUGUGUUAUUUGUGGCCGAUAUGGUGAAUACAUCUGUGAUCAGACUGAUGAUGACAUCUGUAGUGUUGAAUGCAAGACAAUUCUUCUUUCUAGACUUUCUGCUGAAACGAAGCCAGCAGUAAAAGCAGUAAAGCGUGUAAAUCUUCCUGUUGGUGAUGAGAGCUUUUGUAUUCGGGACAAAAAUUUUCCUAAAAUACCAAGUAUGCACGAUGGCCAGAUUUCUUCACUGAGAAGCAAACUUGAUAUUCGUGUCAAGGGUGAGGAUGUUCCUGACCCGAUCAUGUGUUUUUCUUCCUCUGGUCUCCCUGAGAGGCUUGUGCUCAAUCUUGAGGCUGCAGGAUAUGUAAUGCCUACUCCAGUGCAGAUGCAAGUCAUCCCUGCAUCAAUCUGUAAUAGAAGCUUACUUGUCUCUGCUGAUACUGGUUCGGGGAAAACAGCUUCUUUUCUUGUUCCCAUAAUUGCACAUUGUUCACAGGCGCGGUUACAUGAGUGCACAGACAAGCAAGGGCCAUUAGCAAUAGUUCUUGCUCCAACUAGAGAGCUAUGCCUGCAGGUGGAAGAACAAGCAAAAGUGCUUGCAAAGGGUCUACCUUUUAAGACUGCGCUAGUUGUUGGUGGAGAUCCGUUGGCUCAGCAAAUCUACAGAAUUGAAAAUGGCAUCGAGUUAAUUGUUGGCACCCCUGGAAGGCUAAUAGAUCUACUCAUGAAGCACAAUGCUGAUCUUAACAAUGUUUCUAUAUUUGUUUUGGAUGAGGUAGACUGCUUGCUAGAGAGGGGAUUCAGGGAUCAGGCCAUGCAAAUCUUCCAAGCACUUUCACAUCCCCAGGUUAUGAUGUUCUCGGCAACAGUAAAUUCAGAAGUUGAGAAGAUGUCAAACUCACUGGCUAGGAAUGUCAUACAUAUUUCCUGUGGCAACCCAAGCAAACCAAACAACUCAGUUAAACAAGUGGUCAUUUGGGUGGAGUCUAAGCAGAAGAAGCAGAAGCUUUUUGAGAUAAUGACAAGUAAGCAGCACUUUAAACCUCCUGCUGUUGUGUUUGUGAAUUCUAGAGUUGGUGCUGAUCUCUUGUCCGAAGUAAUUACUGUCGCUACUGGAUUGGAGGUUCUUUCUAUUCAUGGCGAUAAGACAAUGAACGAGAGAAGAGAAAGCUUGAGAAGGUUUCUCAAAGGAGAAGUGUCUGUUGUUGUUUGUACUGGGGUGUUGGGACGUGGAAUGGAUCUCCUAAAAGUUCGUCAGGUGAUAUUAUUUGACAUGCCAAACUCCAUUAAUGAAUAUGUUCAUCAAGUUGGAAGAGCAUCUCGAAUGGGUGUGGAAGGUAUGGCUAUUGUCUUUGUUAAUGACGAGGAUAGGAAUCUUUUCAGAGAACUUGUUCAGGUUAUGAAGACUGCAGGUGCUCCAAUUCCUCGGGAACUUGCAAACUCAAAAUACACAACUGGUAUACCCCUUGGCAGUGGUAAGAAGAGAAAACUGAUGUCUAGGGGACAUUCUUGACCAGGGAUACAUCAGAAUGGUUUUUAAUCUUUCUUAAGUAUGAAAAGUAGUAUGCCUCUCUGGAAUGUUAGCUAUGUUUUAUCUUCAUGGGAGUGCAAAUGAAUCUUAGCAUCUCUGGUGGAAAUGUCUACUUAUCAGGAAAUUUCCAGACUCUCUGAACCAACAUGACUCAGGGGAAGUACAUGGAGUCAUGAAAUCAGGGUACAUGGCAAAUGUAAAGGAAUAUAUGGCACAUGUAAAUGUCAGCAAAGUGAUGGGUAGCAUGAUGUGCGGCGGUGGAGAUGUAGUUCUGACGCUUGCUCUGCCGGUGGCGAUCAAGCACUGAUGGGGACAUACUGGGCGUGGGACAUGAGGUCCUGGUGAGCCAUGUUGAUGGUGGCUAACUCUGAUGUUGGCAACCCUAGAUUUUGGGCUGCGGAAAUCCUAUAUCAACCUCAAUAUGCUUGCAAGAGGCAGAUAAUUGUAGAGGACAUGGGCUACAACCAUUCCCUGCAUUUAGACUAAGUAGUAGCAUGAGUGAUCAUGUAUUGAUAAGCUAUGUAUAGCCCCCCAUUGAAUUAGCUGAAGCUUCGCCAUUGGUGCUGAUGGUUGCCACAGCACAUCAUAGUCUGCACCACUAUGACAUGGUUUGUGCCUGCCUAACUUCGUCUGACCACCACCCUGCAGCCUCCACUAUCCUCCCUGCUAAU